GAGCGGGGUGGAGUGGAUAUAGGCCAACUGAUGUCAUGCAGUUAUAGUGCAUGUUCCUCUUACUUAUCCAUGUCCGUACAUGUGUUGGUGCGGGCGAGACGCAGGAUAACUGUAAAUAACAUGAUUCAUAAAUAAUCAUUCUGAUGUCAGUGUACGUUCGAAUUGGCCUGUCCUCUGAAAGACAGUAGAAAGACGCAGUUGCAUUUAGGAUUAGUGAGCAAGCAGAUGUGUAUUGGAAGAAUAUUUCAAGUGUUUGUGCCUUAAAGUUCAGUGACUGGUUUAUCGUUUGUUCAAGAUGUGUUACCAGGGCAAAUUCUUCUACUGCAUCCCAGUCAAGACGGCCUGCUACGUUUUGGCCAUUAUAAAUGCGAUCGUGAACGCGGUGACCUUGGGAUGUUUUAGUAUUCAGGGGGUAGUAUACCUACUAGCAGCUGUCGUCAGCUUAUGCGUCGGCGCCGGCGGUGGUAA